AGUUCUGUGGUGUAAUUGUUAGCACUCUGGACUUUCAAUCCAGCAAUCCGAGUUCAAAUCUCAGUGGGACCU
rfam:Ovis aries breed Texel chromosome 9, whole genome shotgun sequence.